CCUACGGGCGGCUGCAGUGGGGAAUAUUGGACAAUGGGCGAAAGCCUGAUCCAGCCAUGCCGCGUGUGUGAAGAAGGCCUUCGGGUUGUAAAGCACUUUCAGUGGGGAAGAAAGCCUUGGGGCUAAUACCCUCGAGGAAGGACAUCACCCACAGAAGAAGCACCGGCUAACUCCGUGCCAGCAGCCGCGGUAAUACGGAGGGUGCGAGCGUUAAUCGGAAUUACUGGGCGAAAAGCGCGCGUAGGCGGUCUGAUAAGCCGGUUGUGAAAGCCCCGGGCUCAACCUGGGAACGGCAUCCGGAACUGUCAGGCUAGAGUGCAGGAGAGGAAGGUAGAAUUCCCGGUGUAGCGGUGAAAUGCGUAGAGAUCGGGAGGAAUACCAGUGGCGAAGGCGGCCUUCUGGACUGACACUGACGCUGAGGUGCGAAAGCGUGGGUAGCAAACAGGAUUAGAUACCCCAGUAGUC
rnacentral:rRNA from 1 species